rnacentral:rRNA from 1 species
GUCCGGAAAGAAAACUUCGCUCCUAAUACGGGUGGAGGAUGACGGUACCGGAAGAAUAAGCACCGGCUAACUACGUGCCAGCAGCCGCGGUAAUACGUAGGGUGCGAGCGUUAAUCGGAAUUACUGGGCGUAAAGCGUGCGCAGGCGGUUCGCUAAGACCGAUGUGAAAUCCCCGGGCUUAACCUGGGAACUGCAUUGGUGACUGGCGGGCUAGAGUAUGGCAGAGGGGGGUAGAAUUCCACGUGUAGCAGUGAAAUGCGUAGAGAUGUGGAGGAAUACCGAUGGCGAAGGCAGCCCCCUGGGCCAAUACUGACGCUCAUGCACGAAAGCGUGGGGAGCAAACAGGAUUAGAUACCCUGGUAGUCCACGCCCUAAACGAUGUCAACUAGUUGUCGGGUCUUCAUUGACUUGGUAACGUAGCUAACGCGUGAAGUUGACCGCCUGGGGAGUACGGUCGCAAGAUUAAAACUCAAAGGAAUUGACGGGGACCCGCACAAGCGGUGGAUGAUGUGGAUUAAUUCGAUGCAACGCGAAAAACCUUACCUACCCUUGACAUGUACGGAAUC